ensembl:snoRNA small nucleolar RNA SNORA47
UGGAGACUUGAGAAAGUUUUGCAGUUGUUUUUAGUACUGCCACAACUGGUUUUGUUCUCCAAGACUAAACCCUAAACGCAGUCUGUAGUGUCUGAAUGUCUUUUUCAGACUUUAAGCUGUGUUUAUGAACAAUUC